rnacentral:rRNA from 1 species
GACGAACGCUGGCGGCGUGCUUAACACAUGCAAGUCGAACGAAGUGGCGAACGGGUGAGUAACGCGUAAUCAACCUGCCCUUCAGAGGGGGACAACAGUUGGAAACGACUGCUAAUACCGCAUACUUAAGGAGGGGAUUGCGUCGGAUUAGCUAGUUGGAGGGGCAACGGCCCACCAAGGCGAUGAUCAGUAGCCGGUGUGAGAGGAUGAGCGGCCAACGUGGGACUGAGAGACGGCCCAGACUCCUACGGGAGGCAGCGGUGGGGAAUCUUCCGCAAUGGACGAGAGUCUGACGGAGCAACGCCGCGGGAGUGAUGACGGCCUUCGGGUUGUAAAGCUCUGUUAAUCGGGACGCGGUACCGGAAUAGAAAGGCACGGCUAACUACGUGCCAGCAGCCGCGGUAAUAC